GUGCUUGCUUCGGCAGCACAUAAACUAAAAUUGGAAUGAUAUGGAGAUUAGCACGGCCCCCGCCCAAGGAUGACAAGCAAAUUCAUGAAGCAUUCCAUGUAAGG
ensembl:snRNA U6 U6 spliceosomal RNA